ACACAUGCAAGUCGAGGGGCAGCAUGGACCCAGCUUCGCUGGGUUUGAUGGCGACCGGCGCACGGGUGAGUAACGCGUAUCCAACCUGCCCUUUACUCCGGGAUAGUCUCCUGAAAGGGAGUUUAAUACCGGAUGUGUUUGUCUUUCCGCAUGGGAGCGACAAAUAAAGAUUGAUUGGUAAAGGAUGGGGAUGCGUCCCAUUAGCUUGUUGGCGGGGUAACGGCCCACCAAGGCGACGAUGGGUAGGGGUUCUGAGAGGAAGGUCCCCCACAUUGGAACUGAGACACGGUCCAAACUCCUACGGGAGGCAGCAGUGAGGAAUAUUGGUCAAUGGGCGGGAGCCUGAACCAGCCAAGUAGCGUGAAGGAUGACGGCCCUACGGGUUGUAAACUUCUUUUAUAAGGGAAUAAAGUUCGCCACGCGUGGUGUUUUGUAUGUACCUUAUGAAUAAGCAUCGGCUAAUUCCGUGCCAGCAGCCGCGGUAAUACGGAAGAUGCGAGCGUUAUCCGGAUUUAUUGGGUUUAAAGGGAGCGUAGGCGGGCUUUUAAGUCAGCGGUCAAAUGCCACGGCUCAACCGUGGCCAGCCGUUGAAACUGCAAGCCUUGAGUCUGCACAGGGCACAUGGAAUUCGUGGUGUAGCGGUGAAAUGCUUAGAUAUCACGAAGAACUCCGAUCGCGAAGGCAUUGUGCCGGGGCAGCACUGACGCUGAGGCUCGAAAGUGCGGGUAUCAAACAGGAUUAGAUACCCUGGUAGUCCGCACGGUAAACGAUGAAUGCUCGCUAUGG
rnacentral:rRNA from 1 species